rnacentral:misc_RNA from 1 species
GUGAAUCAUCGAAUCUUUGAACGCAAAUUGCACUUUCUGGUAUUCCGGAAAGUAUGCCUGUUUGAGGGUCAGUUAUAUCUACAUCGGUGUUGUUGCUGCUUUUCGUGUUGUCUCGUCGUCUUUGAGUUGUCUUUCCUUAGGUUAAGUGACUUAAAUUUUUGCAUGAUUUUCGAACGUAUUUAAUUUUCUUUCGUACGUUUGAGAUAUCGAAUACUUUAUCAGGUUCGGUCAUCCUCAUGAUUUGACCUUAUAUUUUUUCAUUAUAUGC